GUGAGGAAUAUUGGUCAAUGGACGUAAGUCUGAACCAGCCAAGUAGCGUGCAGGACGAAGGCCCUAUGGGUUGUAAACUGCUUUUAUGCGGGGGUAAAGUGAGUGACGUGUCAUUCAUUGCAAGUACCGCAAGAAUAAGGACCGGCUAAUUCCGUGCCAGCAGCCGCGGUAAUACGGAAGGUCCUGGUGUUAUCCGGAUUUAUUGGGUUUAAAGGGAGCGUAGGCCGUCAGGCAAGCGUGUUGUGAAAUGUCGUGGCUCAACCAUGGACUUGCAGCGCGAACUGCCCGACUUGAGUGCGCAGAAAGCAGGCGGAAUUCGUGGUGUAGCGGUGAAAUGCUUAGAUAUCACGAAGAACUCCGAUUGCGAAGGCAGCUUACUGUAGCGCCACUGACGCUGAAGCUCGAAAGUGCGGGUAUCGAACAGGAUUAGAAACCCGAGUAGUCC
rnacentral:rRNA from 1 species